CAUUUAACGGGAUAUUGGUGUGGUUCAAUAAGAAAGUAAUGCUCGAAAAUAUUUGGCGCCCUACUUUUUGAUUGAGCCGUGCCAAUAUCACGUACCACCAC
rfam:Lupinus angustifolius cultivar Tanjil chromosome LG07, whole genome shotgun sequence.